GCCAACUGCUGCAUACGUGGACCAAGGCCAGAAAAAGGACGGGCGGAACCAGACGUGAUUCCUGGCGAUGAUGUUGACAACAAAGAUACAGAUAUCGUGCGGAUGAUGUUGAUCCGAGAGGUCCAAUUGAAGACGGAACUAAUCAUCAACCCG